UGAACGCUGGCGGUAGGCCUAACACAUGCAAGUCGAACGGCAGCACAGGAGAGCUUGCUCUCUGGGUGGCGAUGGCGGACGGGUGAGGAAUGCAUCGGAAUCUACUCUUUCGUGGGGGAUAACGUAGGGAAACUUACGCUAAUACCGCAUACGACCUACGGGUGAAAGCCGGGGACCUUCGGGCCUGGCGCGAAAGAAUGAGCCGAUGCCCGAUUAGCUAGUUGGCGGGGUAAGAGCCCACCAAGGCGACGAUCGGUAGCUGGUCUGAGAGGAUGAUCAGCCACACUGGAACUGAGACACGGUCCAGACUCCUACGGGAGGCAGCAGUGGGGAAUAUUGGACAAUGGGCGCAAGCCUGAUCCAGCCAUACCGCGUGGGUGAAGAAGGCCUUCGGGUUGUAAAGCCCUUUUGUUGGGAAAGAAAAGCAGUCGGUUAAUACCCGAUUGUUCUGACGGUACCCAAAGAAUAA
rnacentral:rRNA from 1 species